GACGUAGGGCGCGAGCGUUGUCCGGAUUUAUUGGGCGUAAAGAGCUCGUAGGCGGCUUGUUGCGUCGACUGUGAAAACCCGCGGCUUAACUGCGGGCUUGCAGUUGAUACGGGCAGGCUAGAGUUCGGUAGGGGAGACUGGAAUUCCUGGUGUAGCGGUGAAAUGCGCAGAUAUCAGGAAGAACACCCGUGGCGAAGGCGGCUCUCUGGGACGGUACUGACGCUGAGACGCGAAAGCGUGGGGAGCGAACAGG
rnacentral:rRNA from 1 species